CAAUUUGCCGGAAGCGCCGGCGUCCUGUGUAGGUCUCCGCGUGUUCUUCCCAGAGCAGGGUCUCGGGCCGGCACCGAGUGAACAAGAUGUCGGUCCUUCAGGCUCCGGAGGAUGAGCAGGGCGGCGGCGACCGCGGCGAUCCCUCCCGGGACCUCCGUAGCAUUCUGGUCACCAGUGUGCUCAACCUCGAGCCGCUGGACGAGGAUCUCUUCAGAGGAAGGCAUUACUGGGUACCUACCACUCAGCGGCUCUUUGGGGGUCAGAUCGUGGGCCAGGCCCUGGUGGCUGCAGCCAAGUCUGUGAGUGAAGACGUCCAUGUGCACUCCUUGCACUGCUACUUUGUUCGGGCAGGGGACCCAAAGGUGCCAGUGCUGUACCAGGUGGAGCGGACACGAACAGGGAGAAGCUUCUCAGUGCGCUCCGUGAGGGCCGUGCAACAUGGCAAACCCAUCUUCAUCUUCCAAGCCUCCUUCCAGAAGGUGCAGCCCAGCCCUGUACAGCACCAGUUCUCUAUGCCCACUGUGCCUCCCCCAGAAAAGCUGCUUGACCACCAGAGCCUCAUUGAUCAGUAUUUAAGGGACCCUAACCUCCAAGAGAAGUACCGCGUGGGGCUCAACCGCAUUGCUGCCCAAGAGGUACCCAUUGAGAUCAAGCUGGUAAACCCACCCAUGAUGGGCCAGUUUUGGAAAAUGGAGCCCAAACAGAUGUUCUGGGUGCGGGCCCGGGGCUAUAUUGCCUUUCACACAUAUACCCUGGGCCAGAUGACGCUUGGCACGUCUGUGCACGGCAGUCUCUUUCUCCCCAAGCUGACUGCAGUCCUGAGCUGUGCAACCCAGGACCCCAGGGCUGAUGGGGCUGGGGCCUGUUGCAGGGGAGGGCGACAUCAAGAUGCACUGCUGUGUGGCUGCUUAUAUCUCCGACUAUGCCUUCCUGGGCACGGCGCUGCUGCCCCACCAGUGGAAGUAUAAGGUGCACUUCGUGGCCUCCCUGGACCACUCCAUGUGGUUCCAUGCCCCCUUCCGAGCUGACCACUGGAUGCUCUACGAGUGCGAGAGCCCCUGGGCUGGUGGCUCUCGAGGGCUGGUCCAUGGGCGACUGUGGCGUCAGGACGGGGUUCUGGCUGUCUCCUGUGCCCAGGAGGGUGUAAUCCGAGUAAAGCCCCGGCUCUCAGGGAGCAAGCUGUAGCCAGAGGCACCAUCCUGGCCUGAGGCUUCAAGAAUCUCCCUUCUGCACCAUUCCAGAGGCGGGAAAUACAGUCAAGGGCUGGGCCUUUGGCCUUCACAUCCAAUAAAGAGACUGGUAGCACCGGA